rnacentral:rRNA from 1 species
GUAGGAUCCGAGCGUUAUCCGAAUUUACUGGGCGUAAAGCGCGUGCAGGCGGUUUGGUAAGUUGGGAUGUGAAAGCUCCCGGCUCAACUGGGAGAGGUCGUUCAAUACUGCCCAGACUAGAGGAUGGUAGAGGGAGGUGGAAUUCCCGGUGUAGUGGUGAAAUGCGUAGAUAUCGGGAGGAACACCAGUGGCGAAGGCGGCCUCCUGGGCCAUUCCUGACGCUCAGACGCGAAAGCUAGGGGAGCAAACGGGAUUAGAAACCCCGGUAGUCCUAGCUGUAAACGAUGUGGACUUGGCGUUGGUGGGGUAAAAGCCAUCAGUGCCGUAGCUAACGCGAUAAGUCCACCGCCUGGGGACUACGGCCGCAAGGCUA